UACGAAGGGGGCUAGCGUUGCUCGGAAUCACUGGGCGUAAAGGGUGCGUAGGCGGGUCUUUAAGUCAGGGGUGAAAUCCUGGAGCUCAACUCCAGAACUGCCUUUGAUACUGAGGAUCUUGAGUUCGGGAGAGGUGAGUGGAACUGCGAGUGUAGAGGUGAAAAUUCGUAGAUAUUCGCAAGAACACCAGUGGCGAAGGCGGCUCACUGGCCCGAGUACUGACGCUGAGGCACGAAAGCGUGGGGAGCAACAGGGAUUAAGAUACCCUGACGU
rnacentral:rRNA from 1 species